UACGAAGGGAGCUAGCGUUGCUCGGAAUCACUGGGCGUAAAGGGUGCGUAGGCGGGUCUUUAAGUCAGGGGUGAAAUCCUGGAGCUCAACUCCAGAACUGCCUUUGAUACUGGUGAGCUUGAGUCCGGAAGAGGUGAGUGGAACUGCGAGUGUAGAGGUGAAAUUCGUAGAUAUUCGCAAGAACACCAGUGGCGAAGGCGGCUCACUGGUCCGGGUACUGACGCUGAUGUGCGAAAGCGUGGGGAGCAAACAGG
rnacentral:rRNA from 1 species